GGUGGCUUAGUGGUAGAGUGCUUGCCUUGCAUGCAUAAGGCCCUGGGUUCAAUUCCUCAGCACCA
rnacentral:tRNA from 1 species